UCCCCUGUCCUGUUUCAACCUGUUUUGGUGGGGAUUUGCACUGAAAGCAUUUUUACCUCCUUUCUUUAAGCUGAGGUUGAAACGUUCCUACUUUCACUCACUGAUGCGAGUUCCCCCGUCAGUGUGAUUUAUGGAGUGAGCACAGCUUAUCCACAGAGGAUUGCAACAGCUCCACUAGAAUUUUUUUAAUGUUCAUUUGAACUCAAGUUAAUCAUCUUGAAAUCAUAAACUUAUUAUAAGCAAAUCGAUGAACAAAAUCUGUAGAAUUUACACUUGAGUAUUGUUUUUUUUUAAAGCAGUAGAAAGAGCCUGUUUCUAAAAUAUUUGUGGGUGUAACCUGUCUUAUCAAGCGACUAUCAGGACACAGCCUGAAGUGGACUCCCACAGAUACUUACUGAAGCAUCAAAAAUAGUAAAAAAAAAAAAGAAUUAAAUAGAAAAUUAAAAAAUAAAAGGCCUAUCAGAUAAUUUAUUCUAAUGCAAACUAAAAGCACCCAUUCACUUCAAUAUAUCAAAUAAUUCAAACACAGUUAACAGUGGAAAAACAGUAAAAUGUGAAAGUGAAAAUGAGUAAUACACAUAAUUAGUUUGUAGUACAGCAAUCAAUUAUUUAGAUAUUUAAACUUUUUUUCUUUCAAAUCUAAUCCGGUGUACACAUGACUGCUGAUGAGUACAAAUUUCUCUCUAACAGACUGAACUUCUGUUUUUAUAAUAAAUAAGAAAUCAAUAAUUCCUCAUUUAAGUUUCCUCUUUCUCUCUGCUCAUGAUUUCAAGGGAAAGACCCAACAUUUAACACCAAAGCAAGUUAAAAUUUCAAGACAUAGCAGUAUUCAUAUUUGCAAAACUCUUUCUAUUGUCAUCAGUUCCUCCUUAAAUUAAAUAACGCCGCUCUUGAGGCAGUUGGACAAAACAUGGCACUUGAACUGAGUUUACAUGAAGUUUAUUCUGAAUAAAAUCAGUCAAAUCCGAGAAAGGUUCCCAUAGUUCAGUGAACCUUGAGAACCUUAUAUUCAUACAUUCAUACUAUGAAUAUUUUCUAGGCCCUCAGAGUACACAGGAGUGGGCCCGUUUUCACUCUGUUAAAUGAGUUUUAUCCCAAAUUUCUAAUCCCUCAUAACGUUUAUAAGUACCAAUGAUAUUCACAUUAAAGUUCUGUUAAAAACUGUACCUGGAUCAGGUAGCACUACUCAUGUCUGUUAAACCAUUGGUGCUCGUGUCAGGGAACAAGGUAGGUCUGAAAAAUUAAUUAAGGCCUUUAUUUUACACAACUGAAGUACUUGUAAAUUACACCAUCACGUAGCAGCUUUUGUCUUCUUCAGGAUGUAACUUGAAGAAGCGAAAGCUGAUAAGCGUUGGUGAUAAGCUGCUACGUGUUUCAUAGCAAAUCCAGCACCUUGUACUACGAAAGAGUUUAUCAUACAAAGCUGGUUAUCACCUCAGACCUGCACGUUCACAUGAUCAUAUGACUCGUCCAGAGAAAGCAAUCCCUAUGAGUGUCACCUACUCCAGCCAGAGACAUUAUCACAUUAUGAUCAAAUGGUGAUCACAAAUCUCUAAAAAACAUUUUUUUUUAAAUAUAACACCAAAACGCAACAUUGUUGUUAAAAAGAAACAGUUAAUGCAGAAAACCAUUAUUCUGAUCUUUAGUGUACAGAGCAGUAAAAUAAAAAUUUUAAUUACACUUAAUUAUUUUCUGGCUGAGGCUGAGGGUUUUUUGCCCUGCUGUGGAGUCUUUACUAUUUAAGGGUUUGAGAGUAAAGAUUAAAUACAAAAUCAAUAUUCAAAUGUAGUUUACACAUUAGAUAUGAUGUCAGCAAUUAAAGUGGAGGUGUCCUGGUUAGGAUCAAAUGUUAACGAUUAAAGUAAAAUAAAAUUGUUGUAGAGUUUUGAUUGCCAACAGAUAAAAAAAACUAAAUGAAAUAAAGUUGCGUCAAAAGAUCUAUAUUUAUCAGGGAAACACAAAGACAUUAAAAUGCUCCUAUUCUCCUCGUAAUGAAAUCUUUUAGGAAUGGUGAUGCUGUUUUCUGAAGAUUGGUCAGUAGGAGUUAAUUUCAUACCCGUUGGUUUUCAUCUGAAACUUAACGUGCUCUGGAGCAGGUUACCAUGGCACGUUAAGACGUAAAUCACCUUCAUAGUACUGUACAAAAAUGAGAUUUUUUCCUUAGAUUGUGACACUUGGAGUGGCUGUGAAGUUGACUUAUUUUUAGUUUUAACAGAGUUUUUCAGACCUGAAAAUUUCAGAUGUAUAUCUCGUUUGAUUAUGAAGGUAUGAGGGCUCAAAAUAUUGGAAAAAUCAAAAAUUUGAAUACAGGUUCAGCAACUCUGAAACAUUCAAAGUGUGCCGGUAAAGGUUUGCUUUGGAUCAAUUAAAUAAACUCAGAUUGAAAUAAUUAGCUGAUUCUGAAGGAGUCAUGUGGAGGAUUACUCAGAUUUAUUUAUUUAUUAAUGCAUUGAUCCAAGAGUGUCCACAUAAACUUCUCUGUAGCUAAAUCUGUACCUGACUUCAGUUUUUCUCCCUGAAUGCAGAUGUGAAGCAUUACAGUUAAAAAGUGAAACACUUCCAGGAGAAAGUCAGUAAAGACUUUCUCUAAAGUUUGACUUCACUUCAAGACAAAUCUUGAAUCUUGAGUAAAGGGGGUUAGAAAACAAGUAGAUUCUCAAGCCUGCAGUAGAUUUAACAUACGAGUACAUACAUACUACAACAGGAAAGCUACUGGGGACCAGGAAAGUGUUUCAGUUAUUUCUUUUUUACACUUGUUGAGCUAUGUGACUAAACAGGAGCUCCCUCACUGUCAAUAUUUUGAUCUCCGCGAUCCAGAGAUCCAGAACUGCAAACUGUUCAAGUUUCCGUUCAUCACAGGAGACGGGUUUGGGUGUCGGGUUGAAACACAGAAGGCCUCCAGCGUUGUUCUUUUGUGUUUGCAGUAUCUGUGGGAAAAUGGGGCUAUUUCUCUAGCGGUCAGAGAGUUCAGAGGGCUGGCUGUUGUCGGAGUGCUGGUGGAGGUGGUGAGAGACUGGUGAAACAGGAGAUUUAGUGUCUUGCUGAACGCCGUGCAGUCAGCAGGUUGUUCAAGGCCAGUCACAUGACACAGAGAGAAAUGUGGCUGGGCCUGCUGAAGCAUUUCUGUUUUUUUAUUGUUUCUAUACUGACCAGAGCAGCUGUGUGAAAAUGCAUGCACAGACCCACAAACAGAGUCUGCUUCAGAAAAAUGUGCAGUUUCUGCUGAAAUUUUUAAUUUUAACUAAUGAUAUAGAUUUUUUUUUUCAACAGGAAGUUAUUGAUUUGACACGUAGUGGGAACGGUUGGCAUUUGAUUUCAUUCUUAAAGAUUUUUGCCAUUGUUAUCAGCUAAUCAGGUCGGAUUUUGAGAGUUAGAAAAAGUUGAGAAACUCAUGUUCCCUUUACCCUUGACACCUUCUGUUGAGGGAUCUGGUCCAUGCUUUGCAGCCAGUUAAAAUGACCCACUUUUUGAAGACAAGUUCCUGAAGAUGUUCAUCACUGUGACAGAUUCCAUCUGAGCUUGUUGGGCUUCAUACUCUCAAUUGACACUCAGCUCACACUGCCGUCUCUCUGUUAUCCACUGUGGUGUAGCCAACAUUGACAUUUUUCUAGUGUUUGUUUUUGUAAGUUUUGGCAUUUACUGCAGAUUGUAGCGGAGUGCACAACCUUACGUAAUUUAUGUUUAGCCUCAUCGUAUUUUUAAUAAUUACUCUGGUGGUGUUUCCCCUUGGUAGACUGCUUAGUGGGUCCGGGUGAUGCCCCCCCAGGUUAGUCAGGACUAGCUUCCCUGUCAUCAGACUUAGACAUUUGGGGUCAGUUGGUGUCUAUUCAGUAUGUUUUUAGAUGAUUGAACACUUGCUGGGAAGCUUUUUCUGCCCUUCAGUCAGCUCUAGCCUCUAUCUUUUGUUCUCCCGUCUCAUAUUUCCUACUGCCCCUCCCCCUUAAACCGUCACAGCAGAAACAAACAUGACCAUAAAUGACUGCAAAAUGGAGAGUAUAACCCUGUGAUAAAAUUUCACAAAGGCACAAAAAUUAGGCAAGCUAGAUAAAUAAAAAUAUGCAUAUUGAAUCUUUUUUAAAAAUAUAUUUAUCUGUUCCCUUGGCUAAACUGUGCAGCUGUACUGGAACAGGAAUGACUACUUUGGACCCCUCCUCCACCCUAGAAACAACUCCUUUUUAAGUCAAAGGUCAAAUCAGUAUGGAUCAAUACAGAUCCAUCAGUGAUGAAACAUAAAUGUCUCUUCCAAUGGGAGAUUUUGUCCCAGUAUUUUAAAUGGGAAACAUGGAAAAGGGGACCAAAGCCCAGAAAAAAUCUGUGAAACUCAGUGCCUUAAAGGGAUGACAGGUAAAAUAAAGCUUAAGACAGUGCUGUCCAACAGAUCGAGAAAUUAAGUUAAUGGUGUUAAUUCUUUCAUUGGAAAUCCAAAGAGUUGGAGAAACAGUGCUAAAGCUGGCUCUAGCUAUCCUC